AGUGGGUGUAACGUACCUACUAGCCUACGACGGGUACGGGUUGUGAGAGCAAGAGCCCGGAGAUGGAUUCUGAGACAUGAAUCCAGGCCCUACGGGGUGCAGCAGGCGCGAAAACUUUACAAUGCGGGCAACCGCGAUAAGGGGACCUCGAGUGCUGGGUUACAAACCUGGCUGUUGGGCUGCCUAAAAAGCAGUCUAUAGCAAGGGCCGGGCAAGACCGGUGCCAGCCGCCGCGGUAACACCGGCGGCUCGAGUGGUAACCGCUAUUAUUGGGUCUAAAGGGUCUGUAGCCGGCCGACUAAGUCUCUUGGGAAAUCUGGCAUCUCGAGUGUCAGGCUGCCAGGGGAUACUGGUCGGCUUGGGACCGGGAGAGGUGAGAGGUACCUCGGGGGUAGGGGUGAAAUCUUGUAAUCCUCGAGGGACCACCAGUGGCGAAGGCGUCUCACCAGAACGGAUCCGACGGCAAGGGACGAAAGCUAGGGGCACGAACCGGAUUAGAU
rnacentral:rRNA from 1 species